rnacentral:rRNA from 1 species
UACGUAGGGGGCAAGCGUUGUCCGGAAUCAUUGGGCGUAAAGAGCGCGUAGGCGGUCCGGUAAGUCCGCUCUGAAAGUCCGGGGCUCAACCCCGGGAGGCGGGCGGAUACUGUCGGGCUAGAGUCCGGAAGAGGCGAGUGGAAUUCCUGGUGUAGCGGUGAAAUGCGCAGAUAUCAGGAGGAACACCAAUGGCGAAGGCAGCUCGCUGGGACGGUACUGACGCUGAGACGCGAAAGCGUGGGGAGCAAACGGG